rnacentral:lncRNA from 1 species
AGUUACUGGGCAGGAGUAGUAACCAGACUAAAUCGGGUACGUUUUUUAUCCGGCCGUGUCAAUACUGCCCCCUAGCCCUAACAGGUUAAAAUGUGUUUUUAUAUGACAGAAUGUUAAAACUAGAUGAAGUUAUAGUUAUGAAUAUAAACUGGUAAUGAGGUGUAGUUUUAGUUAUGAAUAUUACCUGGUAAUGAGGUGUGGUUUUAGUUAUGAAUAUAAACUGGUAAUGAGGUGUAGUUUUAGUUAUGAAUAUUAGCUGGUAAUGAGGUGUAGUUUUAGUUAUGAAUAUUAGCUGGUAAUGAGGUGUAGUUUUAGUUAUGAAUAUUAACUGGUAAUGAGGUGUAGUUUUAGUUAUGAAUAUUAACUGGUAGUGAGGUGUAGUUUUAGUUAUGAAUAUUAGCUGGUAAUGAGGUGUAGUUUUAGUUAUGAAUAUUAACUGGUAAUGAGGUUAUACACUGAGUGGACUAGAUAUUACUCUAACUGAGCAGUGUAGCCUAUAGGUUAUACACUGAGUGGACUAAAUAUUACUCUAACUGAGCAGUGUAGUCUAUAGGUUAUACACUGAGUGGACUAAAUAUUACUCUAACUGAGCAGUGUAGCCUAUAGGUUAUACACUGAGUGGACUAGAUAUUACUCUAACUGAGCAGUGUAGCCUAUAGGUUAUACACUGAGUGGACUAAAUAUUAC